UGAGAUUAUGGAUCAGAAAAGCAUCUGUAUUCAACAUUAGUUGUGGAACAAUUUACGGGCAGAAUGAUAAAGCUCAACUUUAAGUUACCUAAUCUUAACGCCUGAUUUCUGCUGUGUGCUUCUUGUCAACUUUUUCCUAAUCUGGGUUUUGAUAUUGAUUGUUAAUCUUUUUUAUCCUUUUUCAGAUACCAAAAGCUUCAGGCAGGUCAUGCAAAUGAAGAUGGCAUGCUGGGAUCACGUGAAACAAAUGCUUCUGCAAAAUAUGUUAUUCUAGAGGAGAUUGAUGAUCUAGAUGAGGGCACUUGAAGUUUCUAGUAAUCACAUGAUUUGAAUUUUGAUAAUCUUGUGUAAGCCUCUUGCUGAACCUUCUCCCCUAAAAACAUUGGACAUCUAUGCAGUUUGGGGUGGAACCUUAGGUUGAUGCAAUGGUUUGAUUUGGUAUUUAUCAGUGGUCCAAGUUUGUGUAAUGAUCCAUUGAUUUACAUUUGAUUAUCAGGUUAUCAGCCAAAGAAAUCCGUGGCAUCAGUAGUAACUGGUCUCAAGUUUGCGGUACUUAGCAAAUCUUAUUUUUGGCUGAGCUUCGGCCUUGAUUUUUUCUGCGCCCUCAAGCAGGUCAGUGGCAGAAACGUACAGGGUGUGUACAAAAUCAGGGGUUUAGCAAAUACAUUUUGGCAAGCGGAAUUGAGUGAAGACUGAAGAAGCCCGUUCAUGUGGGAAGUUUACCUCAAGCUUUUUACUAGUGGGUCUUGUCUAAGAUACAUAUUUCCGAAAUGCAUACUCUACGGUCAUUUUGUCGGUCGUUGAUUUGUUGUUUAGUUUAGACAUUGAGAAUGCAAGUGGCGAAGCAAGCUGUAAUCGAUUGAACGCUUUAUUUUGACUUGUUCAAUGCUUCAAAUAUAUUAUUUCACUUUUUGAGGACUUUUAUGGUCAUCCUUUGAUAAAUUGUAUUGUACUCCCUUCAUUGGUUUUAUGCUACCAGGCACCGACUCUGUGGACUUUUACGCUACCACGGGAAAACAGAAAUGAAAAAACAAACUUUUUUGUAGAACAUUAAAAUAUGAAUACAAAAAUGGUAAAGAGAGAGAAAGAUAAAAAAAGGUGUAUUGAACUGGAGCAAAAUUUCCUCAUCUUUCACUCGUUUCAUUUUUCUCUGUCUUUAGCAUCAUCAUUAAUAUAAAUAUCCUUUUUCUUAUUCUUAUGCCUAUCUUUUAAUAAAAUACGUCAAUGGGCCCUGGCCCAGUGGGUGGAUGAGUCAUAAGCGUGUCGGUGGGACCGGUGGGUGGAUGAUACAGAAUAGAGCUAACGAGACUGCAGGGUUGACUUCUGUACCUUAAAUAAGUUUUUUCAGUCAAUCCUUAUUUUAUCAUUGAAAUUCUCUGCAAAGUGAAAAAAAUCCUGCAGUCUCCUUUACAAAUCAUUCCGUAUUGCACUCUUCGUUGUCGGCGAUGAGUGUUAGCCGGAACCGGUGUUCUGUUCUUUUCUUUCUUAUUUUCUCUGCACCAUUUUCUUGCUUGGUUGAUGCCCAAAGUUUUGAUUAUCCGACAGCGAACCUCUCUACUUCAUGGACCAACGGCCCAUCAGCUUCUGACUCGGUAGGUUUCACUGACGGAUCAGCGGUGACAGCCAUCCUUCUUAGGGGAACCCUUGGCCCCACAUAUGCAUGUGGCUUCUUCUGCAACGGCACCUGUGACUCUUAUCUAUUUGCUGUUUUCAUAGUUCAGGCCAAUGAUGCUUCCUUAAUCGAAUAUGACAAUAUCGAUUUUCCACAGGUUGUCUGGUCUGCUAAUCGUAACAAUCCUGUUCGAAUAAACGCAACCUUAGAACUCACUUCAGAUGGGAACUUGGUCUUGCAAGAUGCUGACGGAGCUAUUGCUUGGUCGACGAAUACCAGUGGUAAAUCUGUUGUGGGCUUAAACUUGACAGACAUGGGCAACCUCGUACUUUUUGACAAGAAUAAUGGGGCCGUUUGGCAAUCUUUCGAUCAUCCAACGGACUCGCUGGUUCCUGGCCAAAAAUUGUUGGAAGGGAAGAAACUUACAGCUAGUGUUUCAACCACGAAUUGGACGGAUGGAGGAUUGUUUUCACUUUCUGUCACUAACGAAGGAUUAUUUGCUUUCAUAGAGUCUAAUAAUACUUCAAUACGGUAUUAUGAAUUAGUCAAAGCCACAAAAACAAGUAAGGAACCAAGCCAUGCUAGAUAUCUGAAUGGAAGCUUAGCUUUCUUCAUAAAUUCCUCCGAACCAAGGGAACCAGAUGGGGCAGUUCCUGUUCCUCCAGCAUCGUCAUCCCCGGGACAGUACAUGAGAUUGUGGCCUGAUGGACAUUUAAGAGUUUACGAGUGGCAAGCAUCGAUAGGGUGGACAGAAGUGGCCGAUCUAUUGACAGGUUAUCUUGGGGAAUGCGGUUAUCCUCUGGUUUGCGGCAAGUAUGGCAUCUGCUCUCAGGGGCAAUGCAGUUGUCCUGCAACCUAUUUCAAGGUAUUAAAUGAUAGAAAGCCUGCCCUUGGGUGCUCCCCGAUUACUCCCCUAUCAUGCGAAGCUUCGCAAGAUCAUAGUUUUGUUGAACUCAAUGAUGUCGCUUACUUCACGUUUAGCUCACCUAGCUCAGACCUUACGAAUACAGAUCCAGAGACAUGCAAACAAGCCUGUUUAAAGAAUUGCUCGUGCAAAGCUGCUCUUUUUCUGUAUGGUUUGAACCCUUCUCGUGGAGAUUGCUACUUACCAUCUGAACUCUUUUCAAUGAUGAAUAAUGAGAAGGAAAAGACUCAUUAUAACUCAACUGUUUACAUUAAGGUUCAAAACUUUUCAAUGCCAGGUGCAAGUCCAGGAGGAAAGGAGACGAGCCACAGAAAAAGAAUAAUGGGGUUCAUCCUUGGAUCUUUCUUUGGUUUAUUAGUUCUAAUUGGUAUCUUGAUCUUUUUCUUUGGGAAGAAAAAGGGGGCUGAUGAAAUUGAGGAAGAUUGUUUAGAUCAAGUGCCAGGACUACCCAAAAGAUUCUCAUUUGAAGAGUUGAAAGUCAUGACAGACAAUUUCAGAAAGAUACUGGGUAAGGGGGGUUUUGGCUCAGUCUUUGAGGGGACACAAACUGAUGGCACAAAAGUUGCAGUGAAACGUCUCGAAGGAAUUGGUGAAAUCAAUAAAUCUUUCUUAGCAGAGGUGAAGACAAUUGGAAGCAUUCACCAUCUGAACUUGUUGAGGUUGAUAGGGUUUUGUGCUGAGAAAUCUCAAAACCUUCUUGUUUAUGAAUACAUGCCGAAUGGAUCUCUAGAUAGGUGGCUUUUCCAGAGAUCAGAUGAGUUUAUGCUUGACUGGCAGCAAAGAAAGAAGAUCAUCCUUGAUAUUGCCAAGGGACUAACCUAUCUCCAUGAAGAUUGCAGGCAGAAGAUACUCCACUUGGAUAUCAAGCCCCAAAAUAUUCUGCUAGAUGACAACUUUAAUGCCAAAGUUGCUGAUUUUGGUUUGUCGAAAUUGAUUGACCGGGACCAGAGCCAAGUUGUGACAACCAUGAAAGGAACUCCAGGCUAUUUGGCUCCUGAAUGGCUUAGCUCAGUAAUUACAGAAAAAGUAGAUAUCUACAGCUUUGGAGUUGUGAUGUUGGAGAUAUUGUGUGGCCGGAAAGUUUUUGACCGCUCUCAGCCUGAGGAGGAAGACAUGUAUUUGCUGAGCAUAUUCAAGAAGAAGGCAGAGGAGGACAAAUUGUCUGAUCUGGUGGAUAAACACAGUAACGAUAUGCAAUCAAAUGGAGAAGAAGUAGUGAAUAUGAUGAAGGUGGCUGCAUGGUGUCUGGAAAGUGAUUUUGCAAAGAGACCUUCCAUGUCAAUGGUAGUUAAGGUUUUGGAGGGCGUUACAGAGUUUGAUCAUAACCUCCAUUAUAACUCCGUUCACCUGCCAUCUACAGCAGCACUAGCAAACGUUGAUCAUAGGGAAGAAAAUGACAAAUCCACUACUCAAUUGUUGCCUUCAAUUUUGUCGGGGCCAAGGUGACAGACGAUUAGCAAGUAUACAUACCACAUAUCCAUUCAUUAUUAGCAUUAAUAAUGCUUACCAUCAACUUUUGUUUUUAGAUUUGAAAAAGAAAACUAAUUGGGCUUUACCGACGAACUCUCAGCAUCUUUCUUAAAAAAUUGGCGCCAAAGUUUUGUAGGGUUAUUUGUGGAUACAAUCUGGAAUGAAAGAAACUUCAAAUCUUUGAUAAGAAUGUAAAUCUCGUAAUUGAUUUAUUAUGCAAAUUUUAAAUUCGCGGAUCAAAUAACUGCAAGCAACCAUCUAAGGUACAUAUGUGCAAAUUCAGAAAUCCGUGGCAAGUAUCAGUAGUAAUGGGUCUCAAAUUUGCAGUAUCUCGCGAAUCUUAUCAUUGACUGAGCUUUGGCCCUGAUCUUUUCUGCUUCUCAAUCAGAUCAGUGGCAGAAACAAGAAGAGGGUGCCUGCAACAUUAGGGUUUACCAAAUACAUUUUGCCAAGCAAAAUUGAGCGAAGAAGUCCAAUCUUAUGGGAAGUUACCUGAAGCUUUUACUAGUGGGUCUUCUGUAAGAUGCACAGUUGCGAAAUGCAUGACUACACUGAUUUCGUCAGUCUCUAAUUUGUUGUUUAGACACUGAGAAUAUCAGUCUUUAGACAUUGAGAAUGUGAGUGGGGAGGCGAAGCAAGCUGCGUUGCAUUGAACGCUUUAUUUUGAUUGGUUCAAUGCUUUAAAAAAAAAACUUUUAUUUUCCAAGACUUUUAUGGUCAUUUUUGAUAACUUACUUUUUUAUUACUUUUUUUUAAUUACUAAAAAAAUUUUGGGAUUAUGUAAAUCAGGUCUAUCAUAACAUAGUUUAAAUAUCUAUUUCCACUGAUAUUAAAAAAACAAAAGAACUACUCCGCUGAUAUUGGUAGAGAAAUAUCUAUCCCUAAAUUUUAUAAUUAAAAAGUGAGAAAAAUACCCAAAAUAAUUAUUUAAGUGGAAGGUGAAUAGAAUUCCAAGUAUAUAAUUAAUGAAAGAGUAGAAUCUUUGAGUGUGUGUCGGGACUCGAGUUGAGGUUGCCCUUAGGCCCUUAGGCGCUUUGAUGGAAAGGGUUAGCAACGAGGGUAGCCCAUUGGCCUACUCUUUUAUUAAAUUUAAACUGUGGAUGGGUCUGAGUCUCUUUCUUCUCGAAGGUUUUGACCAAGGGAAAAACAAAGACAUAACUUCUUAAACUUAUCAUUGCCUGUUUUUCAAAAUUCAUCUAUGGGCAUUGAACUUGUGGGUGGGGGAAGACACGCGUAGGACGAGACUAGAGGGUUUGACUUUUGUUCUAUAAAUAAGUUUUCCAAUCAACCAAUUGUUGCAUACUUGAAUCAUUCUGCAGUUAAACCAAAUCCUGCAAUCAUCCUGUUUAAUCUGAAUUGCACUGCACAUUUUCGGCGAUGAGUGUUAGCUGGAACUGGUGCUCUGUUCUUUUCUUUCUUAUUUUCUCUACACCGUUUUCCUUGUUGGUUGAUGCCCGAAGCCAAAGUUUUGAUUAUCCGACAGCAAAACUCUCAACUAAAUGGGUCAACAGCCCGUCAACUCCUCAUUCCGUAGCUUUCACGGACGGAUCAACGGUGAGAGCCAUCCUUCUCAGGGGAACCUUUGGCCCCAGAUAUGCAUGUGGCUUCUUCUGUAACGGAGCCUGCGACACUUAUCUAUUUGCUGUUUUCAUAGUUCAAACCAACAGUGCUUCCUCAAUCGUUGCGCCAGCAAUCGGAUUCCCACAGGUCGUCUGGGCUGCUAACCGUAACAAUCCUGUUCGAAUAAAUGCAACCUUAGAACUCACUUCACGUGGGAACUUGGUUUUGCGAGAUGCCGACGGAACUGUAGCUUGGUCGACGAAUACUAAUGGUAAAUCUGUUGUGGGCUUAAACUUGACAGACACGGGCAACCUUGUACUUUUCAACAAGAAAAAUGCAGCAGUUUGGCAAUCUUUCGAUCAUCCGACAGACUCGCUGGUUCCUGGGCAAAAAUUGGUGGAAAGGGAAGAAACUUACAGCUAGUGUUUCAACCACGAAUUGGAUGGAUGGGGGUUUGUUUUCACUUUCUGUUACUAAGGAAGGAUUGUUUGCUUCCAUAGGGUCUAAUAAUACUCCAGUACCGUACUAUGAAUAUAGAGUCGGUGGCACGAAAACAAGAAAGCAACCAAGCUAUGUUAGAUAUCUGAAUGGAAGCUUAGCUUUAUUCAUAAAUUUAUCGGAACCAAGCGAGCCAGAAGGGGCACUUUCUGUUCCUCCGGCAGCAUCAUUACCGGGACAGUACAUGAGAUUGUGGCCUGACGGACAUUUAAGAGUUUACCAGUGGCAAGCAUCGAAAGGGUGGACACAAGUGGCGGAUCUCUUGACUGGUUAUUCUGGGGAAUGCGGUUAUCCUAUGGUUUGCGGCAAGUACGGCAUUUGCUCCGGCGGGCAAUGCAGUUGUCCUCCAAUCUAUUUCAAGCCAAUAAAGGAUAGACAGCCUGCCCUUGGGUGCUCCCCGAUUACUCCCUUAUCAUGUGAAGCUUCCCAAAAUCAUAGUUUUGUUGAACUUAAUGAUAUCACUUACUUCACUUUUAGCUCAGACCUUACGAAUACAGAUUCGGAGACGUGUAAACAAGCCUGUUUAAAGAAUUGCUCGUGCAAAGCUGCUCUAUUUCGGUAUGGUUGGAACCCUUCUGCUGGAGAGUGCUCCUUGCUGUCUGAAAUCUUUUCGAUGAUUGAUAAUGACCAGGAAAAGACUCAUUAUAACUCAACUGCUUACAUUAAGGUUCAGAACUUGGCAACGCUAAAGUGAGGAAAUAAGACGAGUCAUGAUAGGGCCCGGCUCUAGAGUAUCUCCGAAGCCUCAAGUGAAAGAUUUAAUUUAUUAAUGCAUUUUGUACUUGCUGAUGAAAUAAAUUACCUAUGUGUAAUAUUCAUAUUUUAUGUGACACUUUUUAUCGUUUCUUCUAGACACGCAAAAUGCUGGAAUUUUAAAUUUAUUUUUGGUAAACAAACAGGAAUGAAUUAAAGAAAUAAGUAAAAUUAGUAACGAAUUAAAGAAAUAAGUAAUUAUUAACAUUAAUUUUUAGAGGAAAAAUAUAUAUGACGUCCUUUAUAAGAUUUUACAUAUAAAUGAAUUAUAUAAGAUUUAGAAAUAUCUAUUUCAAAAAAAAAAUUGUAUUAGCUCUAUCAUAAAGUUAUAUGAUUUAUUUCCAAUCAUCCUCUCAUAAAACAACAAUCUUCAAAAUACUCCAUUAGCUAUUAUAAAACCCAACUUACCUUCUAUUUUUGUUAAAAGACAAAAAACUUUUCAUCAAGAUGCACCCCAUUUUUCCAAAAUUUUUUAAACAAAAAUGAAGUAAAUUAAAGUUAUGGUAUUUUGAAAAUUGUUAAUCCACGAUGAAUAAUCCAAAAUUAACUCUCAUUUUUUCUACCUUAUGAAUUUGCUGAUGCAGCCAUCCUUCUGAGGAGAGCCUCAGGCUCCUGAUAUGCAUGUGGCUACUUCUGUAACGGAACCUGUGACGCUUAUCUUUUUGCUGUUUUCAUAAUUAGACAGCGUCGGUGGUAAUUGCUCGUGCAAAGCUGCUCUAUUUCGGUAUGGUUGGAACCCUUCUGCUGGAGAGUGCUCCUUGAUGUCUGAAUCUUUUCGAUGAUUGAUAAUGACAAGGAAAAGACUCAUUAUAACUCAACUGCUUACAUUAAGGUUCAGAACUUGGCAAUGCCAAAGUGAGGAAAUAAGACGAGUCAUGAUAGGGCGGGCUCUAGAGUAUCUCUGAAGCCUCAAGUGAAAGAUUUAAUUAAUUAAUGCAUUUUUUAGUUGCUGUUGAAAUAAAUUACCUGUAAAUUAAAAGAAGCAAAAAAUCUGUAAGGGAAGACUCCGAAGAUGUCGGAAAGCUCCGAAAACCUUGAAACCCAUGAAAACCCAAGGUUGUUGAAAACGAUUCCACCACCGUCGCCUGAGGAUCGUUCUACCAAAAAGGCUCGCUUUCGCAGCCAUGGUAUGGACGCGGAUAAUCCACCACCGUUAUCUUUCAAGGAUGCCCUCAUGCCCCGUACUCAACAAAGAAGUUUUGAUGAUACUGAGAUGGAUGACGAGUGGGACUUUGAACCGGGAGAUGUAACCGUGGGGGACGAUGGUACCAUGCCAACUAUUAAAUUCUCUCAACGAAUCCAUGAGAAACUAGUUAAACCUUGGCAAAAUUUGGUGGUGGUGAAGUUGUUGGGGAGAAAUAUAGGUUAUAAGGUUUUGUAUAAUCGGCUGAAGGUCAUGUGGCAUAUGAUUCCGGAUUUUUCAGUAAUCGACCUUGAAAAUAAUUACUUUUUAAUUCGACUUAACUCACCAGAGGAUGCUAUUUAUGCGUUAACUGAGGGACCAUGGGUAAUCUUUGGACACUAUCUAACAGUCCAACCGUGGAGACCUAGUUUCGAUAGCACCAUUACAGAGAUUGCUUCUGCAGUUGUGUGGGUUCGUUUGCCUGGAAUGGUGUUCCACUUAUAUGACAAGCGUGCCCUAAGAAAGAUUGGACAACUCGUGGGUAAUUUCAUUAAGAUCGAUUAUCAUACGGAAUCGCGGGAAAGGGGCAAAUUUGCUAGGGUUGCUGUUCGUGUCUCCUUUACUUAGCCGUUAGUGGCUCAGUUUAACUUGGAAUGAAGGAUUUAAAAGGUUGAGUAUGAAGGGUUACCGAUCAUAUGUUAUCAAUGUGGUAAGUAUGGUCAUAAUAGCACGGCUUGUUUGAAUAGAUAACCUUCGAAUAUGAUGAAUGAGGCAAAUUCUGAGAACAAUACACUAAUUAAUAAAUCCUUAGAUAAGAGUGGUGUCCAGAUUGUGGCAAACAACACCAGCGAAAGGUUUGGCCCAUGGAUGAUUAUGGAGCGAAAAUGGAGAGCUAGACUAGUUGUGGAUAAGGAGAACAUUACGGAUUCAGAAAGGAAUCAGCGAAGGAAUUUCAAUAAUACUUCUCGUUUUGCUAUUUUAUCUGACGACCAGGAUGCACCAACUGCGGAGGAGCUUGUUGGUCAGAACCCCAUACACAUCCCUCCCUAGCAACCAACCACAUCCAUUACCGAUCACUUCAACACUCGAAAAAACAAUACUCUGAAAACCUAUCGAAUCCUAAAACCUCAUAACCAGCUGUCCAAAGGAAAACAAGUGGCCAAAUCAUAGUUUCCAAAACCUAAGCCACUGCACCCUACUACAUCCAGCUCCAUGCAUGAAACUCUACGGCCCCAUGCCACCAAAAUCCUCUCCCACAAAACUAAUGAACCUAACCCGAGCCCCUUGAGACAUACUCCUAGUGAACCGUUGAGUUUACUUUUAAUUUGACAACUCUUGAUCCCACAAAACAUACGGCUGUCACCAUACCGUAUAGAAACCAGGCCACUGCAGGACAGCCAUCAAGUGAAAAACCUGUUGCCCAACCUGAACAGCAAAUUCUUCCAAAGCAGCUAGCGGAGCCUCCUGAUGGCAAGGAUGCAGGGGUUGUUGAUAUAAUGGUGAAUUAUGAGGGGGUUUCUCAACCUGUUUUUGGACAAGAAGGUGAAGACACCAUGUCUGAUGAUGAAGACACGGUUGUACAGGAGACUCCUGGAGUGCAUGUUGGACUAAUGGUGGAGCUUGAUGCGUAAACCUUUUCUACUCACCCACUUUAUCCAUAAUUGAUUAAUGACAAUUUCAACUUUAUUCUGGAACGUCCAAGGGGCGGGGUCCCCAGCUUUUAGACAAACUUUUGCUGCUUUAAUUAAAAACUACAAUCCUACAAUUGUAGCGAUUUUCGAGCCAAGAAUAAGUGGGAAGAAAGCAAACGAUUUUAUUAAAAAAAAUGGCUUUGACCGCUCUCAUCGUGUGGAGGCUAGUGGUUUCUCUGGAGGUAUUUGGGUGUUAUGGCGUGAUUUGUUUUACGUUGAGGUUGCUCUAAAUCAUAAUCAGUUUAUCCAUUUAAAAAUCAGUGUCCAGAAUGUUACUCAAGCUUGGAUCACAGCAGUCUAUGCGAGCCCCAACUCAAUUCGCCGUCGUGAGCUAUAGUAUCGGUUGAAUGGCAUUGCGAGAUAGAUGCAUGACCCUUGGCUGGUGGGGGGUGAUUUUAAUUCAAUUUUGUAUGCUGGGGAAAAACAUGGAGGGUCUCAAAUGGGCACGGGUAUUUGUCCAAGCUUUAAUUCAUGGUUGAUUUGCCUUUCAGUGGCCCUCGUUUCACUUGGGCUCGUGGGAAUCUAUCAAAGAGACUCGAUCGAGCUCUGAGUAAUAAGGAUUGGAUUCUAAAGUUUGAUAAUUAUUCGGUGACCAAUCUCCUGCGAGUUGAAUCUGAUCACAGACCGAUUUUGGUUCGUUUUGAGCACAAUGGUAAAGGAAUGAGGAGUAUAAAGCCUUUCCGGUUUCUAGCUGCUUGGAUGACAGAUAAUCGGUUUGGAGAUUUUAUGCAGGGCAAUUGGCAGAGAAAUAUGCCUUAUGCUCAAGCUGCUUCUAACUUCACAAGUAAGGUAGCUAAUUGGAAUAGGGAAGUUUUUGGUAAUAUUUUUAAAAGGAAAAAAGAAUUGUUUGCUCGUCUUGGCGGGGUUCAAAAAGCCUUGGAAAGGCGGCCUCUCAGUAGCCUGUAUCGUCUGGAGGUAAGGUUAAAAAAGAAGCUGGAAGAAGUUCUGUCUUAAGAGGAUCUGUUAUGGUAUCAAAAAUCUCGCAGAGAGUGGAUUAAAUAUGGGGAUCGGAAUACAUCAUUUUUUCAUCAAAAAACCAUUACAAGGAGGGCUCAUAAUCGCAUCACUGCGAUCAGGGAUGAUGGAGGUAAGUGGCUUUAUGAAGCUCCAGAAAUUAAAACCCAUGCUGUGACAUUUUUCUCUACACCAUAUAAAUCUGAACAGGAUAUAUAUCAGCCGUAUCAUAUGCGAGGGUGUUUUCCUCAAAUUGACCACACCCGAUUGGCAAGUCUUGCUGUGCCGGUGGAGAAUGAAGAAAUUCAUGAGGCAGUCUGUCAGAUGAGUCCUCUCAAAGCUCCUGGAAUCGAUGGCUAUCCUGCCGGGUUUUAUCAGGCUCAAUGGCAUAUUGUUGGUGAGUCUUUUAGUUCUGGUAUACAGGAAGUCUUUAAUUCGCACAGGAUCCCCAGAGAGGUUAGUAAAACUCUCCUAGUCCUGAUCCCAAAGACUGAGCGUCCCACAUCCUUCAGGAUGUAUCGCCUUAUAAGUUUAUGCACAGUAUUUUAUAAAACAGUAACCAAGAUUAUUGUGAAUAGACUCCAAGCUUUACUCCCUGAUCUUGUUGGCCCUCAUCAGACAAGUUUUGUCCCCGACCGGCAUAUUACGGAGAAUAUCAUCAUCGCUCAAGGGGUUGUCCACUCUAUGCGACGAAAGAUGGGUAAAAAAUGUAUAAUGGCUAUUAAGAUUGAUUUAGAGAAAGCAUAUGAUAGAUUGAACUGGAAUUUUAUUCAUGAGACUUUAAGGGAGCUAGCUUUGCCGUUCGAGCUCGUCCAGUUAAUAAUGGAGUGCAUUACUUCUAAUAGGAUGAACAUUUUAUGGAAUGGGGAAUUAACGGGGGAUUUUGCCCCUAGUAGAGGUGUUCGGCAGGGUGAUCCGUUGUCUCCUUAUAUUUUUGUUCUCUGUAUCGAGAGACUGAGUCAUGCAAUCUAUUGCUCAAUCCAGCAAGAACAAUGGAAACCAAUUCGUUUAGCUUGAAUGGGUACCCCCCUAAGCCAUUUAUUUUUUGCUGAUGACCUACUCCUUUUUGCCGAGGCUUCUAGUGCACAAGCCCUCUUCAUAAAUUCGGUCUUAGAUGAUUUUUGUUUGAGCUCUGGUGCAAAGGUGAACAAAUCCAAGACUCAAGUCUAUUUUUCUAAGAAUAUCUCCGAGGCUGUAGCUGGCCGAUUAGGGCGUGAACUUGGGUAUACAGUCACAAAAGAUUUGGGCAAUUACUUAGGCAUGCCUCUGCUGCACCGCCGGGUUUCGAAACAGACUUAUCAGGGAAUUCUGGAUAAAACGCAGCAAAGACUUUCGGGUUGGGCUGCCUCUCAACUGUCCUUUGCAGGGCGUAUUACUCUCACCCAAUCUGUCCUCCAAGCAAUCCCUAUAUAUGUUAUGCAGACUACUAAUUUAUUCGCUAGUAUCAAGACUAAAAUUGAUCAAGUUUGCAGAAUAUUCUUGUGGAGUGGAAAUGAUGAAAUGCGUAAGAUGAGUUUACUUAGUUGGCACACUAUAUGUCAACCAAAGCUGGCUGGUGGGCUAGGAUUUAAGAGAUUGGAGGUUAUGAAUGAAGCGUUAUUGUUAAAGGUUGCUUGGAACUUGAUCACCGAACCUGGUAAGCUUUGUGCCCAAGUACUAGCUACAAAAUACAGAGUGUCUCUCUCGGAUAUCCCACAAUUUCUUCCCACUCGGCAUGGCUCUCAUUUGUGGAAGUCUGUGUGUCGAGUUUGGGAUCAUGCCAAGCGGGGAUUACUUUGGAAUGUUGGUAAUGGACUGAGAAUUAAAUUUUAGUGGGACUGUUGGGCUACGGCAUCGUUUCCCCUUGCGGCUUUUAUUUUGAAACCAAUACCUCCUGAGCUUUGUGAUUUGUAUGUGGCUGACUUUAUGAUCGCAGACGGCACCUGGAACUGGUCGAAGUUCAGCCAUCUUUUAUCCCAUAAUGCAGUGAUGCGCAUUGCUUCAGUCCAUUCCCCUUCGGCGCGAAAUGGUGCUGAUAAGGCUUACUGGGCAGCUGCAACUCAUGGAAAGUUCACAGUGAAGUCAGCAUAUGAUCACUUGGCUCAGCCAUACUUACAUCAAAGGGAUAUGAUCUGGCGUUUGGCGUGGUCAUAAAGGGACCACAAAGUAUAAAAACUUUCAUCUGGUUGGUGCUGCAUAAUCGUUUGAAGACGCGGGGAGAGUUAACUGCAGGACAUUUAACAAUUGAACCACAUUGUGAGAGAUGCGGGUAUGAGUUGGAGACCACGAUCCAUGUGCUUCGUGACUGUCCUUACUCUAGAGCAGUAUGGAUUCGUCUUCUUCGGGACAAUAAUCAUCAUGAUUUUUUCAACAUUGAUCUUGCGGGGUGGAUGUCAAGAAACUUGCAAGCUUCAAACAAGUCUCUAGGUGGAAACCUUUGGCGUGUGCUGUUUGGAGUGGCUAUUUUGGCGGAUUUGGUUCUGGCGAAAUCAUUUUAUUUUUACGACGGAUUAUUGGGAUAGCAAUAAUAUUGCAAUGGACAUCAAAGUCAAGGCUGCUGAAAUUCUACGAAGUAAUUCCUGCUCCUUUGCGGCUGGUAUAACCCGUAUCGAAAGAUGGAUUCGUUAGACUGCGCUUGUUUGGCCUUGGGUUAAGUUAAAUACAUAUGGUGCCAAGAAAUCUUCGGGGAUUGCAGGAGCUGGUGGCUUAAUCCGUGACUUCAGAGGUGUUUGGCAAGUAGGCUACAGUGCAAAUUUAGGUGUUUGCUUGGUGACUUCAGCUGAGCUAUGGGGAUUAUUUCAUGGACUAUCUAUCGCUUGGCAAUAUGGGUUCCGCAGAGUGUACGUGGAAGUAGACAACAUGUGCGUUAUGAGGUUAAUCUCUAAUCCAAAUCCUCGUAUCAAUGAGCAUUUUACUCUCAUUCAGGAAAUCCAAACACUUCUCCGGCGUGAUUGGCUGACCAAAGUGGAGCGUAUCUAUCGAGAAGCCAAUGAAGCAGCUGAUUUCCUGGCUUCUGCUGUACCGUACAUCCGCCUUGGCCGUACAGCAGUUUUUUUUAAUUACUAAAAAAAUCAAUCGAUUCCUCCAAAUAUGCUUAGCAUAUUGACUAACGAUGUUCAUGGGAUUGUACACUCCCGCUUAGUGUUGCCUUAGUUCUCUUAUGAGCCCUUUGAUGAUAAAAAAAAAAUUACUUGUAAAUUUGUAAUAUUCAUUUUUUAUGUCACUUUUUAUCGUUUCUUCUAGACGCGCAAAAUACGUGAAUUUUAAAUUUAUUUUUCAAAAGAAAAAAAUGUAACGGAUUUUGUAAUUGAGAUGCAAACAAUUUUUGUGUUGUUUUCAUUCUCGUCCUCUGCAUAUAACAAACAAUCUUAUUUUUUUUAAACAAAUAGGAAUGAAUUAAAGAAAUAAGUAGAAUUAGUGUUUAGGGUAUAUAACGACGCAACUAGCUACACUCGAACAAGGACUUCCUUCUUGUGAGUGAGAAGCUAUAUAGCAUCCAUGAGCAGGAGUUUUCUGUUUGACACUGAGGAGAGCUUCUGUUGGGGUCGAGGCAUGAGCAGAAGUUUUCUGCUAUAUACCAAGGCAAUUUUCUGCUGGGGCCAAGGCCAGAGACCUAGUCAAUAGCAGUUGUCAGAACGUGUGCUACUUUCCAAAAAUCCAAGAACGAUACCCACUCAGCCACAAUCACAAUGCUCGAGCAUCCACGACCGAGGAUUCGGUAAAGUGGCGAACAUGGGUCAUGGAGACCGAAUUCCCAGGAGAGCUAUAAAAAGGGUCUCCAACGAAGGUAAAUAGGUUGGAUUUUUUGAGAUUGAACAUAUUAAGAAGAAAAUUCAUUUUAAUCUUUUCUCUAGGUUCUUAGUAGGGAGAAUUCUUGGGAUUUUAAAGGAUAAACGUUAUGGUGAAAAAGCCAAAAGGCCAGUGGCAACGUUUUUCCUAAAUAAGCCCAGAUUGCUGACUUGAGCAGUGGAGGGUUUACGCUGGGAAAACCCCGACAUUCUCUGAUUGGUUUUUGUACGUGUAGGAGUUCGCAGAGGAGAAGCAGCGAGCCUUAAAGUCUUGCUCAUUAAAAAGGAGUAGUGUGAAGUUAUCCCUGACCAACUAAAAAUUAAAGUGUUGAGGAGAGAUUCUGGUCGCGACCAAGUAGACCCUAAAUCUUGUAUCAACAUUUUGGCGCUGUCUAUGAGGAGCUAAACAAAAGAUACCGUUAAUGGAAAGAAGGAAAGGAAUGAAGAAGGGAGUGAUUUGGACGUAGGGGGAGUAGUGCUCAAGGGGGGAGCCGGGGCUCAGUGAGUCCGUGAAACUAAGGGAGAUAGCAAAUGAAGCAUGAAAGAGGGCAAUGCAUGAGCGGAUGGAGAAACAAAUUUAGACUUUAACAACCAUCUUGCACGAGCUAAGAAAUGAGUAGAGAGGAAUUCACGUAGGAGGAAUGAGAAGCGACAGAAUUAUACCAAGGCUUGUUAAUAGAAGGAGCCAUGAUGAAGAGAUCGCCCCGAUGAGAGGCCGAACUACCGGGACGUUUGGUGAUGGUGUCGGUGACCAAUCGUUAAUGGGGGAAGUCAUAAAGUAGGGGAUCAACCUCAGGGCAGGUGUUGGUAUAAAUUUAAAUGUUAUUGAUAUCAAUGUGCAAGUGUACAUAACAAGUAAUAUAAUGAUGAGUAUUCAAGAUCGUCUCCACAGGGAUUGAUGUUAUCAGACUUGCUACAACAAUUUUAAUAAUGCAGAUUUUGUUCUAAAUUAAAAUAAAACAAUUAAUGAAACUAAUAUACUAAUUAAAAUAAAAAACCAAUAAGUAAAAUGCAACAAAAUAAAUUAUCACGUACCAAUGGGAAUAUAGAGUAGUUGAUUGAAUAAACUUUUUUAAUGGUUUUGACUAUUUUUCUAAUGUUUGGCUCGGUUGCUACAACACUAGGCAGAAUCAUUAUAUAUCCACAAUUAUCGCAUGUUGGAUAUCUUAAAUCUAUACGCAACCUAAUAGUGAUAAGCUGUUUUGUCAAUAAAAGAUAUAUCAUUACACGAUUAGGUUCUAAUUAUCCUACAAGGUGAAUCUCUAUGUCUAGUUUAUCAUUAAUUUUAGAUUAAGAAUGACCCUUUUGGAAUCAAGUUGAACUCAAUCUAAAAUCAAGUUGAACUCAAUCUAAAAUCAAGUAUUUCUCUGAUAUGUUCUACUAAGAUAGGUCAUUUUGUGGCUCUUUCUUAGCUAAUAUCAUUAAAUGGGUGACCAGCCGAAAUAAUGAAUAGAAAUAAAUACUAUCAAAAUAAAAUACUAUAGCAAAUGUGCAGCAACACAUAUAUUUAGUCAAUAAACCAUGAAGAUUGUUUAUCACUUAACCACAAAUAAAUUUAGGUCAUGGUUUACAAAAAAAUAAAAAUAAAAAAUAAAAUUUCAGUCAUCAAACACAUCCUCAUGACUAAAAAGUAAAUAAGAAAACAAGAGAAGAAUAAGAAAGACUGAGUUCCCGAUUAAUUUCAGCAAAUUCUCCUCUUGUGUAGCCCUCAAUCUCUCUCUUGAAUUCUAUUUUUCUUUUGUUUCUUUGUGAUUUUUCUCUUUGGGUGACGGCUCUCCCUUUUCCUUAUGAUGUGUGCUCCUUUUAUAGUUGAAAAUUAGGGUAAAUGGAAGCCUAGGGCGUGUAUCUUCUAGAUUAGGAAACUACGGAUCGCAAUAUUCUGAGUAUCUCGCGUAAAAUUUUCUCUAUUGUUGUUCCAGGAUUGCCAUAGCAAUGACUCCAGCAACUGCACUGUUCCAGAUUUGUUUCAAUUUUUUUGUAAUCGAGUUAUUUUCUAUCUUUUGCAAGCCUAUUGCAGCAACAUACAUUUCUUAAAAUUUGAGCUUUUAAUCACUUACAAUUAUGCACACAAUCUAAGCACACAAAAUUAUUAUAAAACAACGCAAUUUAUUAAAAAUAAACUAAAAUAAUUAUUCAUACAAAAUAAAAUUAAAAUACAAUAAAAAAAUAUGUCAUUUACUCUCUAAAUAAUAAUGAUUUACUUUAGAUAACGAUGAUACAUAGAAAUGCUGGACCUUUUCUUAUGAGCUUAAGCUUUGGAGUUAAUAGUUUUUUAAUAUGGUGUCAUUCUGCGUUUUUUCUCUAAGGUAGCCAGCACUUAUUGACGAACACAUUUUGCUCUUGGUAAAAAGCUUGAGUCUCUGGUGAACAAACUUAUACAUUACAUUUCUUUCCUAGAUGCUUUGCCUUAGUUUUUAUACCAUUAUUUCUAAUCAAUCACUGAGAAGUGUUUUCUUUAUUUUUUGUUUUUAGGUCUUAAAAAUCCACUUACCUUGAUGAGCUCUGUGGCACCAAUUAUGGCGCUGGUGACUGCUCUUCUUUCUCUAUUGCUGGAUCCAUGGCAUGAAUUCAAAAGGAAUAAUUAUUUCAAUAACUCAUGGCAUGUCACUUGGAGUUUGUUGUUGAUGCUUUCCGGCGGAGCUUUGGCCUUUUUCAUGGUAAGAAUUGAGGUUGAACAAAAAGGAUUGGGAGGAAGAUACAUUUACAUGCUUUUCGUGUUGCAUAUUGAGUACACUUGAUCUGAGUUUCAUGGUCCCCAAAAGAAAUUAACUUUUUUCUCUUGUUACAGGUUUUGACAGAAUUUGUACUUGUCUUGGUAACAAGUGCUGCCAAUGUUCAAAUUGUAGGUGUUGUCAAGGAGGCUGUAACCAUAUUGGUAAAACUUUUCUAUGGUAGUUAGUCUUUCUAGAUUAAUUUGGUAAAAUGUUGGCUGUUGUAUGUGCUUUAUUGUUUGUUCUAUCUUAUUUUCUAGCCGUUACCUUGUGAAAUCCUUUAGUUACAACACCGUUCUGUUUCAAACAUUAAAUAUUCGAACUCUCCUAUUAGAUAAGAUAAAUACCCUGUUUGUCAUGAGGUUGCAAUUAUUUAUGAUUAUGGCUAUUGUCUUAAAACAUUUUGCAUGGUCUGAGCCCUCUUUUGUAACUUUUGAUUGUGAUCUAUACUUAUAUUUAGAUUUUUGUUUGAGGAUGCUUGAUGCAUCUAUAAGAUGUAAGAAUCCCGCUUUGAUUGUUUUACUAGUUUUGUUGUCACAGUGUAGCUAUCUCCUGCAUAGACGGACCCUGUGCUUUGAUUGUUUUACUGGUUUUAUUGUCACAAUGUAGCUGUCUCCUGCAUAGACAGACACUGUAUAGAAUUAAACCCUAGUCUUAUGUUUUCUUAUCGUGUUUUUUCAUUUGGUUAAUUAUUUUAUUAAUAAUUACAAAUAUAAAAAACAUGAAUGGCUACACAGUAUAAAGACUCUCAAAGGAUUCUACUUCAAUAUGUGAAUGUACAGGUUGCAGUGUUUUACUUUCAUGAUGAGUUCACUUGGCUGAGGGGGUUUGGUCUCUUCACAAUCCUGGUCGGUGUCAGUUUAUUCAAUUGGUACAAGUAAGUCAUUAGUUAUUGUAGUUUUGAACUAUCAUUGCAUGUUUCUUCUCUUUUUCCUUUCCCCCCUCUUUUUUCUUCUUUGUUAACUGAUUUUGUUGUUGUCUUUUUUUUUAAACUAUUAUUUGGCUGUUAGAUUAUUGCUUAGUGUGUAGUGGCCAAAUAUGGAUUGUGUGAUGCAGAAUACAUAAGUAUCCAGUUCAUUGCUAAUAAUCUUAAAACUUUCUCCCAUCAAAGAGUCCAAUUAAAUGGGAUAAAAUGUAAUUGUAGAACUUUGGACUGGACAAAUUUUCCAUGACUAGCUUUUGCUUUUGGCUGUUUGCAUGAGAAGGAUGUUCCUUUAACUUGCAUGUUUUCCAUGUUAAAUGCCCUUCUGUAACAUUAAUCACUAAAGCUUGGUUGUUGUCCAUCAGAUGUUAUGUGUCAGAUUUGCGAGCAUUCUGGUGGUGAGCUUUAAUCUUUUCUGUGAACGGUUAGCCUGCUGCACAAAAUUAGAUCAUUAUACAAAAGUUCCACAUAAUGUGCCCUAGUCAUUGAAGUUUGAUAAAGUUUAAGAAUAUGAUAAUGACAUUUCUCGAAACCCAAGAAAGCAUCCCAAUGGUCAUUAUGCGUCAUUAUAAAUGGGAUCAACCAAAUUAUAAUUGCCUUGUCCUGUUGCUAUCAGUUAGCAACGAGAAUUGAGAUUUUACCGGCUCAUCCAGCUAAAUUUUGUAAGUCCUUUGCUCCUUACUUACCAAAUUUGACAUGUAUUGAUUGCAUUUGUUUGUGGAUCUCUUGAAAUAAUAUUUUGGUUUUUGAUGUUUCUUCCUGACAUAUUAAAAAUAUUGGAAUUUUAGAGUUUCUCUAGUAUCUGAGCUUAUGGAUCAGAAAAGCAUCAGUUUUCAACAUUAGUUGUGGAACAAUAUAAGGGCAGAAUGAUAAAGCUUAACUUUAAGCUACCUAAUCUUAACACCCGAUUUCUACUGUGUGCUUCUUGUCAAUUUUUUCCUAAUCUGGUUUUUGUUCUUGAUUGUUACUCUUUUUAUCCUUUUUCAGAUACCAAAAGCUACAGGCAGGUCAUGCAAAUGAAGAUGGCAUGUUGGGAUCACCUGAAGCAAAUGCUUCUGCAAAAUAUGUUAUUCUAGAGGAGAUUGAUGAUCUAGAUGAGGGCACUUGAAAUUUCUAGUAGCCACAUGAUUUGAAUUUUCAUAAUCUUGUGUAAGCCUCUUGCUGAACCUUCUCCAUUUGGGGUGGAACCUUAGGUUGAUGCAAUGGUUUGAUUUGGUAUUUAUCACAGUGGUCCAAGUUUGUGUAAUGAUCCAUUGAUUUACAUUUGAUUAUCAGGUUAUCAGCCAAAGAAAUCC
rnacentral:lncRNA from 1 species